rnacentral:pre_miRNA from 1 species
UCAUCUAAAGUCUUGCAUGUGGAAAUGAGGCGUGUGGUGCAGCCAAGGAUGACUUGCCGGCAAUACUUAGCUUGUCAUUCUCCAAUGCAUGCAUGUUGUUGUGAGAAUGAGCUGAUCGGCAAGUCGUCUCUGGCUACAUUAUUGCCUCCUUUUCUCAUGCUAGAUUUAUGAUGA